UACGAAGGGUGCAAGCGUUACUCGGAAUUACUGGGCGUAAAGCGUGCGUAGGUGGUUCGUUAAGUCUGAUGUGAAAGCCCUGGGCUCAACCUGGGAAUGGCAUUGGAAACUGGCGACCUAGAGUACGGUAGAGGGUAGUGGAAUUCCCGGUGUAGCAGUGAAAUGCGUAGAGAUCGGGAGGAACAUCCGUGGCGAAGGCGACUACCUGGACCAGCACUGACACUGAGGCACGAAAGCGUGGGGAGCAAACAGG
rnacentral:rRNA from 1 species